GAAAAACUGGCUGGACAGCUGAGCCCAAAGAGUGGUGGCUGAUCACAAGUGGUGUUCCCCAGGGCUCAGUACUGGGCCCAGUUCUGUUUAAUAUCCUCAUCUAUGAUCUGGAUGAGGGGAUCGAGGGCACUCUCAGUAAGGCUGCAGAAGACACCAAGUUGGGAGGGGGGUGGUGGUCUGCUUGAGGGUAGGAAGACUCCACAGAGGGAUGUGAGCAGGCUGGAUCAGUGGGCUGAGUCUGAGGGAACUGGGGGUGUUUGGCCUGGAGAAAAGGAGGCUCGGGGGGACCUUAUUGCUGUCUACAAAUACCUGAGAGGAAAGGGUAGCGACAUUGGUCUCUUAUCCCAAGUAAUAAGUGAUGGGAUAAGAGGAAAUGGCCUCAAGUUGUGCCAGGGAACGUUUAGACUGGAUAAUAAGAAAAGUGUCUUCACCAAAAGAGUUGUCAAGCACUGGAACAGGCUGCCCAGGGAAGUGGCAGAGUCACCAUCCCUGGAGGUGUUUAACGGAUGUGUAGAUGUGGCAUUUGAGGACAUGGUUUAGUGGUGGCCUUGGCAGUGCUGGGUUAAUGGUUGGACUCCAUGGUCUUCAAGGUCUUUUCCAGUUUAAAUUAUUCCAUGAUUCUAUAUUUGGUCUUAUGUAAUCAGUAUUGCAAUAACAGCUACUUUGUUCUUAGUUGUGUGGCUACUAUCUUAACAAACAGGAACCAUGUUUUGCUGUUGUCCUCAUGACACAAAGAAACUUGUUCUUGUAAAAAAAACAAAUCAAUUUAUUCUUUUUAUAUAUUUUUUUUUACAUAUCUUCGCUUUUUCCCUGUCUUCCCAGGAAUAUCAAACGAUCUUAUUCAGAAGAACCAGACACUUAGAUCUGUUACAGUUAAUCCAACUGGAUUUUACUGUUUUAUACAUUAGUUCGAGGAGCUAAGAAGGUGGGACAGUCUUCUCUGUCCCCUCCAUUAAUGUUUUAUGACACAGGUACAGUGGGACAAGACAACAAGUUUCCUUAAUGCCACAUCUACAUCGUGUAUAAAUGGAACAUGAACUGGCAGCAUCCUAUAAGAAAAAUGCAGCAAUACAUUUUGUAUAAGAUUUAGUGGUUUUGUCCUUCUGUGACUUGGAGGAACUGCAGCUGUACUAGAAUAGCUUCAGGAUUUGGCUGACUUAUGUAUGCACCCGCCAGGGCUCCAGUAUCUGUGCCAAAAUAGAGAAACAGAGAAAAUUCCUGCACUUCCACACAGCACGUGGGGAGAAAGACACUUGUGUCUGGAGCCAGGAUGGCAGACAGCACCCGUCCCUCUGGCAGCUACACAUUGCUGAAUGCAUUUCAGAGGUUUGUUUUUGUCUUGUGUACACAUCAUGUUUUCUGUCCACUGUCAGAGCAUCUUAAAUGAAGACAUAAUGUAUGACUGUGACAGAGGAGUUUGGUUUCUCUGUGCCAUUCUCUGCUCUUUUGUGACUAUGCAGAAGGACUCAUGUGCUCGCUGUGGUCGUUGCCUUUUGCCACUAAUUAGAGGAAGAACUGCUCUGGUUUCAUCCCUAAGCUUGCAAGUCUCUCAAAGUCAUGAUGAUGUCACUAUUUUUUAUGUAGCCUGGGUUAUAAAGAUGUAACACUAAAGGAAUGACAGUGAUUAUUUCACGUUGACUGGGUGGUAUCUUCUGAGACUACUAUUUCUUUAGUACCAAUUGUAACUCUAGAUACCACAACACCACUUGCUUCGGUUGAAGGAGAAAAGAAAAAGCACAGGUGUGAGGAAGUUGCAUUGUACAACUGUGUUAUCUGCAAUGCAGGCAAGUGAUUUAUGAUUGCAUGUUUCAUGGAGCUGGAAUGAUAUUGCCAGAGAUGACAGCUUUUCACCCCUGUUCUUCUGGGAGCUAAGCAUCUGUACAUCCCCCUUGUGUAACUUUCACUGCAGCCCUUUUCUGGAGCUCUCAUGCAAACUGCUUUCUGUAGAACAAGAUUCCUCCUAAGGAAGUCUGUCCUACUGCCACUAGCUGAGGAGAUGCAUGUUUAGUGCUACCAGCAUGCCCUCUUGUGUUCUGGGAGAGCACUCGUGGAAAGCAAGAUGGAAAACACCCAGGAAGACACAAAU